UUGACCUCGGAUUAAGUAGGAAUACCCGCUGAACUUAAGCA
rnacentral:rRNA from 1 species